rnacentral:rRNA from 1 species
GAUGAACGCUAGCGGCAGGCCUAACACAUGCAAGUCGAGGGGCAGCAUGGCGUAGCGAUACGCUGAGUGGCGACCGGCGCGACGGGUGCGUAACGCGUAUGCAACCUGUCCGGCGCGAGGGGGGUAGCCCGUCGAAAGGCGGGGUAAUCCCGCAUGAACCGGUAUUCCCGCAUGGGGGUGCCGGCAAAGUGGAGACGCGGGGCCGGAGGGGCAUGCGUGCCAUUAGCUGGCUGGAGGGGUAACGGCCCACCAGGGCGAUGAUGGCUAGGGGGUCUGAGAGGAUGGUCCCCCACACUGGUACUGAGACACGGACCAGACUCCUACGGGAGGCAGCAGUGAGGAAUAUUGGGCAAUGGGGGAAACCCUGACCCAGCAACGCCGCGUGAAGGAAGAAGGUUUUCGGAUUGUAAACUUCUGUCCUUGGUGAAGAGAAGAAGACGGUAGCCAAGGAGGAAGCCCCGGCUAACUACGUG